GGUCUGCGUCCUCUCCUGAGCCCCGUGUUGUCUGUACGCGGGGCGAUCGGAGUCGCAGGCAGAUUGAAUCGCAGAGGAAGCCGAGAUAUCGCUGUGAAAAGACCAGACAAGCCGAUGUGCCAUAUUCCUCUCACACACACCGCCUCUGUUGUCACGGAGAUGAUGGCUGCCCCGUGUCGUCAUCCACCGACUAACAGACAGAUAAUCGCAGAGCGAUAUUAUUACCAGAAUGAAGACUUCUGAUAAAUACUGUGACCCUGCGACAUUC